AUGGCCAUUUCUAACAACCCUCCUUCCUUGCCUUCUUCCCAAGUACUAAUACUCCCAACCUCUUUUGCACUCCGGGAUGAUCAGGAGACCCACGGAGUCAUAAGGAAAAGCCAGCUGGGGAAAGAGCCUCUUUCGGAUAAAAGGAGGGAUGGGCAUGGGGAAAGAGCAAGGAGUCCAUGGAAAUUCUGCUUGUUAGUGAUGGUGAACUGGAGUGGCCUGGAUAUUUGAAUCAGCACCCUGGGUUUUUCAGCAGAUACCGGGGUUUUUCAGGUAUUUCAGAACUACACAGUCCUCCCAUGUUAUCAUCCUGUUGACUUUCCACAGUGAGUGGAAGGGGUCAUUCUCCCUAUUUUAGAGAAGAGGAAUGGAAGUCCAGAGAGGCUGAGUGACUGGGGAGCAGGUCGGGUGGCGAAUCAUCGGAGAGGCUGUGAUGUGAACUUGGCUUUUUGGGUGCUGAACCCAGCAGUAUUUCUUAUCUCGUGGUGGUGACCUUUGCAGGGUGACUGGUUUAUCCGGCGUUCUGGUGGAUCGGAGGUCAAGGCCAGGGGAGAGGCCUG
rnacentral:lncRNA from 1 species